GACGAACGCUGGCGGCGUGCUUAACACAUGCAAGUCGAAUGGAAAGGCCCUGCUUUUGUGGGGUGCUCGAGUGGCGAACGGGUGAGUAACACGUGAGUAACCUGCCCUUGACUUUGGGAUAACUUCAGGAAACUGGGGCUAAUACCGGAUAGGAGCUCCUGCUGCAUGGUGGGGGUUGGAAAGUUUCGGCGGUUGGGGAUGGACCCGCGGCUUAUCAGCUUGUUGGUGGGGUAGUGGCUUACCAAGGCUUUGACGGGUAGCCGGCCUGAGAGGGUGACCGGCCACAUUGGGACUGAGAUACGGCCCAGACUCCUACGGGAGGCAGCAGUGGGGAAUAUUGCACAAUGGGCGGAAGCCUGAUGCAGCAACGCCGCGUGCGGGAUGACGGCCUUCGGGUUGUAAACCGCUUUCGCCUGUGACGAAGCGUGAGUGACGGUAAUGGGUAAAGAAGCACCGGCUAACUACGUG
rnacentral:rRNA from 1 species